UGUAAGCGUAUACCAAAGUUGUUGCAGUUAAAACGCUCGUAGUCGGAAUUUGGCAGUUCCGGAUGUGUGCACGUCGUGUGCGCACUUCGCGGGGAUUGCUUUUGUGGUCUUGCGUAGGAUGAGGCACUUUUAUUAGUGAACGUCCUCACGCAACCACUUUUUACUGUGAGAAAAUCAGAGUGCUCAAAGCAGGCAUUUGCCGUGAAUGUAUUAGCAUGGAAUAAUAGAAUAGGACUUGGUUCUAUUUUGUUGGUUUGUUGGACUGAGUAAUGAUUAAGAGGGACAGUUGGGGGCAUUUGUAUUUCGGUGCUAGAGGUGAAAUUCUUAGAUUACCGAAAGACAAACUGCUGCGAAAGCGUCUGCCAAGGAUGUUUUCAUUGA
rnacentral:rRNA from 1 species